rnacentral:tRNA from 1 species
CUGCAAGUAAAGCACUUGCGGCCAUUGAUCAUUUGCCUCCGGAGCAAAAGGUCGGUGGUUCGACUCCACUCGGGCGUACCA